rnacentral:rRNA from 1 species
UGGGGAAUAUUGCACAAUGGGCGCAAGCCUGAUGCAGCCAUGCCGCGUGUGUGAAGAAGGCCUUCGGGUUGUAAAGCACUUUCAGCGGGGAGGAAGGCGUUAAGGUUAAUAACCUUGGCGAUUGACGUUACCCGCAGAAGAAGCACCGGCUAACUCCGUGCCAGCAGCCGCGGUAAUACGGAGGGUGCAAGCGUUAAUCGGAAUUACUGGGCGUAAAGCGCACGCAGGCGGUUUGUUAAGUCAGAUGUGAAAUCCUCGGGCUCAACCUGGGAACUGCAUCGGAUACUGGCAAGCUUGAGUCUCGUAGAGGGGGGUAGAAUUCCAGGUGUAGCGGUGAAAGGCGUAGAGAUCUGGAGGAAUACCGGUGGCGAAGGCGGCCCCCUGGACGAAGACUGACGCUCAGGUGCGAAAGCGUGGGGAGCAAACAGG